rnacentral:rRNA from 1 species
GACGAACGCUGGCGGCGUGCCUAAUACAUGCCAGUAGAACGCUGAAGGAGGAGCUUGCUCUUCUGGAUGAGUUGCGAACGGGUGAGUAACGCGUAGGUAACCUGCCUGGUAGCGGGGGAUAACUAUUGGAAACGAUAGCUAAUACCGCAUAACAGUAGAUGUUGCAUGACAUUUGCUUAAAAGGUGCAAUUGCAUCACUACCAGAUGGACCUGCGUUGUAUUAGCUAGUUGGUGGGGUAACGGCUCACCAAGGCGACGAUACAUAGCCGACCUGAGAGGGGGAUCGGCCACACUGGGACUGAGACACGGCCCAGACUCCUACGGGAGGCAGCAGUAGGGAAUCUUCGGCAAUGGACGGAAGUCUGACCGAGCAACGCCGCGUGAGUGAAGAAGGGUUUCGGAUCGUAAAGCUCUGUUGUAAGAGAAGAACGAGUGUGAGAGUGGAAAGUUCACACUGUGACGGUAUCUUACCAGAAAGGGACGGCUAACUACGUG